rnacentral:rRNA from 1 species
UCCUGACCGUGCGAAGGUAGCAUAAUCACUUGUUCUUUAAAUAGGGACUAAGAAUCAACGGCGUCACGAGGGUCUUACUGUCUCCUUUUUCUAAUCAGUGAAAUUGAUCUCCCCGUGAAGAAGCAGGGAUGAUAAUAUAAGACGAGAAGACCCCAUGGAGCUUCAAGCUCAACAACUACUCCUCAUAAACUACAUUAUAGCCCCAAGGACCUACUUGUUAGCUUUAGGUUGGGGUGACCGCGGAGUAAAACUCAACCUCCAUAGUGAAAAGAAUAAAAUCCUUAUCCCAGAACUACGCCUCUUAGAAUUAGAACACUUACACCAAAUGGCCCGGAUUACUCGAUCAAUGGACCCAGUUUCCCUGGGGAUUACAACGCCAUUCANUUUAAGANCCCCUAUUGGCCAAUNGGGUUACCAACUCNAUGGUUGGUNAANGGGANCCCAAUNGGUGGAACCCGUUUUAANGGUUCCUUUGGUCAACC